GAACCUUUAUUCUUGGUUUUUCUUUUUGGUGGGUAUCUGGGUCUAUGAAUUUUCUUUUUGCCAUUGGUAUUGAUCACCGAACAUAUGCAUUGAACUGUGAUUUGUUUACCUGGUGCAGUGUCUUAGUUUGUUAUGUAAUGUCCUGCAUGGCAUGGAGAGCUAUCCCGGUUAUGAGUUUCUCCAUUGCUUUCUCAGUUCUUGAAUUUAUCUUUUGGUUCUAUACUUGAAUUUUUAAUUCUUGAAUUUAUCCAAUCGAUUUUUACUGAUCUUUUAUUUUCUCUCCUGUUACAUCAGCCAUUUAACUUUUAUUCAUUUGCAAACAUAGUUUCUUCUGUAUUAAAUUUCUCUGGACUUGAUCACUGAACAGUAAGGAUUGGAUUGUUAUUUUGUGUCUCUGCUCCAGUCUUUGGAUUAGUUUCGAGAGCCUGUUACGAGUUUAUCCAUUGGGUUUUUCGUUCUUGAAUUUAUGAAUUGUUCCUGCAUAGCAUCGAGGCUGUAAUGAGGUUAUCUAUUAGUUUUUCAUUCUUGAGUGUAUGGAUUCAUCGUAACUUGGUUUUCUAGUAAGACAUUCUUGGUCUUUGCAAGGAAGACAACCAAUAUAUCAUGUGAAGGUAUUUAGAUGACAGAUAUAUAUAUCAAAUAUUUGUAUCCAUUCUUUUUCAAGCACUGAACAAGCAAUGUUGAUUUCUAUCUUCAUCGAGUCUUGUGCUUGUGUAUUUUCCUUAUGGUUUCUGUACUUUUUAAUCUUGUAAGAGAUUAUUUUUUUUCGAUUUAAUUCUUCUUGCUUUCCUCUUGAGCUUUGUAGGGAGGCAAUGGAUGUGUGCUGUAGGUUUGAGAAGCAGUGGAUGAAAAUCCUGUGAAACUGUAAGUUUUAUUAGAAGUAUUCGUUUUAUUUGACACCCACAAAAGUACCUCUUCUAAUUGAAAGAAACUUAGCCAUUACGGUUUUUGAAUUUUUGUGAGUUUCAUCACGUCUGUGUCAGCCAUUCCCUUCUUGAAACUGUUGCGGGUAAGCACUUUUCCCUCCUGUUCUCUCUUUUCGUCCACACUUAUACUUUUCUUUCUGCAAUUGGGUCAUCUUAUUGUAAAGAGUUUCGUUUCCUUCUAUUUUAAUUUGUUCUUUUACAGACUCGUAAAAUUUUCUUAGCUAUAGAGCCAUGUUAUUUUCAAAAUAAUCUUUCUUUCUUACUUUAUAUAUUUUCCCUAUUAAUUUUGGUUUUUCAUAGUUAUGCUAUUUCUAUCCGAUCAUUCCGUUUUUGUGCUCUGUUAAUUGUAGUUGUCGCGGUUUUUCAUGUGAGGAUUGAGUCCCAUGCUUUUCACUUUUAUAAAAAUAUAUCAGGGCUUGCACUAUUUGCAUUUAUUUGUUUGCAGCAAGUAGAGUCUUUGUUUUCUUAAUUAUUCUCCAUUACUUGGGCUCUACAGGGAAGACUUAUUAUGAAUGUUUGUUAGGUCGUGGAGGCUAUGGCAGUUGAUUAUUGGACUUCUUGUGAGGCUUUAGGUUUUAUCUUUAUGUUUUAUCUUUAUGUUCGAAUUGGAAUUGCUUUAGUCUCUCUUGUUAGUUGAAUAGGAAGGUACGUAUGUCUGUCAAUUUUUUGGUGUUGAUUCUUGAUGCAACGAAUUGGAAGAAGAUUUAGAACUGCUAACGACCCAGGUUAUUUUAUUUCUGACAAAUCCAGGAGUUGGUUGAACUGUUUGCAUUCAUAGCAUUAGCAUUCUAGGUGAUUUCCCUUGCCGAUUGAAUAUUAAAAUUGUACAAGAGUUUAGAAUGACUUACAACUCUCAAUAAUCUAAUUCUUUCUGAGUUUCCUUUGUAUUAAUUGUUCUGUCCUGGUGUUGACAAUUAUAUGGUCACUCGAAACUGGUAUUUUCUUUGUGUUUUGUUCUUUGGUUGUUUUCCUUGCCAUUUCCAUACAUAUCAGGAAUUAUUCCAAUCUUAACGGCACUAGUUUUUGGAGUGGAGUAGCAUGGCACGACUUUGUUGCUUUGCAAUUUCGAUAGCAUUUUUUAUAUGAUCUAUUCCAAUUUGAAUGGGACAUCCUUUUUCUUAAAAAUCCUUUUGGAAUAGUAUUUGUUUAAGCACUACCAUGAAACUGGAAAGUAACAUGAAAGGGCAACUUCUCAAGAUAACCUAAUUUCUUUUACUUGUUUCUUCUACUAUUAUUUGAGAUUGAUAUAGUUGACCAUCGAACAUUAGGAUUGAGUUGUGAUUUGUUUCUUUGCAGCAGGGUUUGAAUUAGUUUCCUGUCAUGACUUGUAUCUCAUAGAGUCUGUUAUGAACGACUAUGUUGUCUCUAUUGUUUUUGAAGCCUAUAAUUUAUUAUUCAUCAUUGGAUGUGGAAACUUUGGCAGCAGAUCUUCAGAACUUUUUAUGUGAUGAUGGAGAUCUAUUUGAAUUUGAAUGUAGGUUCUAUGUUUGAUUACGUCUAGGUGUUGAACUGGUUUGUUUUCAUCGUAAACUAAUUUCUUUUAAGUUUCCUCUCUAUUUGGUUUCUCGGGAUUUGAUUCUUUGUUUGAAAGUUCUAUAAAGUUGAAUUUUAAUAGUGGUAAUUAGCAACCGGUUCUUGAUAAUCUAUCAAUUUUCGUUUUCAUAUCGUCCUUUUCUCUCUUCAAUUUCAUUGGGUUGAUUGUUCAAUUUUGUGAUUCUUGAUUAUCUUACUUCUGUUUUGAAGUUGUGAAAAUUAAUUUUUUAUUUUCUUAGGUUAUUUGAAAAGAUGAAUGUUUUCAGUGGUGUUUGAAUUUGUUGUGUAACGUAGUGCACAAUGAAUAUGGGACAUGUGGGAGUAGGGCUUUGAUUCUUUGUUUGAAAGUUCUAUAAAGUUGAAUUUUAGUAGUGGUAAUCUAUCAUGUGGACUGUUCGUUUUCAUAUUGUCCUUUUCUCUCUUUACUUUCAUUGAGUUGAUUGUUUAAUUUUGUGAUUCUUAUUAUCCCACUUCUGUUUUGAAGUUCUAUAAAAUUAUUUUUUAAUUUUUUGAGGUGUUUUGAAAAGAUGAAACUUUUCAAUGGUGUUUGGAUUUGUUCUGUAUCGUAGUGUACAAUGAAUAUGGGACAUGUGGAGUAGGGCUUUGAUUCUUUGUUUGAAAGUUCUAUAAAGUUGAAUUUUAAUAGUGGUAAUUAACAAUCGAUUCUUGAUAAUCUAUCAAUUUUCAUUUUCAUAUCGUCCUUUUCUCUCUUCAAUUUCAUUGGGUUGAUUGUUCAAUUUUGUGAUUCUUGAUUAUCUUACUUCUGUUUUGAAGUUGUGAAAAUUAAUUUUUUAUUUUCUUAGGUUAUUUGAAAAGAUGAAUGUUUUCAGUGAUGUUUGAAUUUGUUGUGUAACGUAGUGCACAAUGAAUAUGGGACAUGUGAGGGUAGGGCUUUGACUCUUUGUUUGAAAGUUCUAUAAAGUUGAAUUUUAGUAGUGGUAAUUAGCAACCGGUUCUUGAUAAUCUAUCACGUGGACUUUUCGUUUUCAUAUUAUCCUUUUCUCUCUUCACUUUCAUUGGGUUGAUUGUUCAAUUUUGUGAUUCUUGAUUAUCUCACUUCUGUUUUGAAGUUCUGAAAAUUAAUUUUUUAUUUUCUUAGGUGUUUUGAAAAGAUAAAUCUUUUCAAUGGUGUUUCGAUUUGUUGUGUAAUGUAGUGCAUAGUGAAUACGGGACAUGUGGGGUAGGGCUUUGACUCUUUGUUUGAAAGUUCUAUAAAGUUAAAUUUUAGUAGUGGUAAUUAGCAACCGGUUCUUGAUAAUCUAUUAUGUGGACCUUUCUUUUUCAUAUUGUAAUUUUCUCUCUUCACUUUCAUUGGGUUGAUUAUUCAAUUUUGUAAUUCUUGAUUAUCUCACUUCAUUUUUGAAAUUCUGAUAAUUAAUUUUUUAUUUUCUUAGGUGUUUUGAAAAGAUGAAUCUUGAACAUUCCAUUCAUUUUAUUAGUGCAAAUUAAAAGGACGGACCUUGCAGUCAUUCCUUUCAUUUUAAUGGUUUAGGAUUUCUUUUGCGGACAUGUACUUCGUCUUCUAUUUAAAUCAUGGACGGGCUCUAUAGAGAAGACAAGCUACAAGCUAUGAAGUGUGAGAGGAAAUUUUGUGCAGUGUGAAGCACUUGGCGUUCUGAGAAGACUGGGAUGCUCUCGUUAAUAAGUAGGUCCAAGAUGAGCCAGUUACCCUUUUGCCUCCUCUUACAAAGGCUUUAAAGUUUGCUUUUAAGGUAGAAAUAAAUUAUGUCAGUCGUAAAUAUUACUUCUACGAAGAUCGACCAAAAUUUCCGUUGUACUGAAAUUGUCGACCUACCUACAUCAUGUCUAGGGCCUGGCCCGAUAUGACUCCCGAGGAAUUAUCUGCCUUGAUAUAUUCUAAAAUAAAUUCCUCGAAAAUUUCCUACCUGAAAACUUCUCUAGGCGUAUGGAUCUUCCAGAAUGUGGAAGGAUCUCUGUGAUAUUAUGGUGUCCAAGAGCCCUAGAGAUAAAGCUUUGUUCAAACAUAUAUUCAACAAAUACCAAUCGACGUCGGAUGAGGCAACUAGGAAACUGACCGUCGCGGUGGUUACAAAUGUUGUGCCUUUGCAAAAGGA